GAUGAACGCUGGCGGCGUGCCUAAUACAUGCAAGUCCAGCGAACGGACGAGAAGCUUGCUUCUCUGAUGUUAGCGGCGGACGGGUGAGUAACACGUGGAUAACCUACCUAUAAGACUGGGAUAACUUCGGGAAACCGGAGCUAAUACCGGAUGAUAUUUUGAACCGCAUGGUUCAAAAGUGAAAGACGGUCUUGCUGUCACUUAUAGAUGGAUCCGCGCUGCAUUAGCUAGUUGGUAAGGUAACGGCUUACCAAGGCAACGAUGCAUAGCCGACCUGAGAGGGUGAUCGGCCACACUGGAACUGAGACACGGUCCAGACUCCUACGGGAGGCAGCAGUAGGGAAUCUUCCGCAAUGGGCGAAAGCCUGACGGAGCAACGCCGCGUGAGUGAUGAAGGUCUUCGGAUCGUAAAACUCUGUUAUUAGGGAAGAACAUAUGUGUAAGUAACUGUGCACAUCUUGACGGUACCUAAUCAGAAAGCCACGGCUAACUACGUG
rnacentral:rRNA from 1 species